CCUACAUACACUGUGUGUGCACUGAAGGCUUCAGUUUUGGGAACAGAGGAUUCUCCCAGCUCCCUGGACAGACUUUCGGACAUGUUGCAGGGCUGUUGCAAUGCUUGCAUUUGUGGGGAGUGAGUUUGACUGCAGUGUGAAGAGAAGCCCGAUGUCUGAGUUGGCCAUGUUUCCUUAUGUCUCAGAUUGACAGGUCUCUAUUGGGAUGCAGUGUGAGUGAGGCUGGAGCUGGACUGGCCAAGUGUAAGGUCCAUCCUGCUCUGGGCAGCCACAGAUGUCCCCUCCAGGUGUUAAGCCAGGAUCCCCUCGGACAUUUGCAGCCCUGGCAGUGAGGCACACACCUCCAGCUGUGGGCAGGACCCUGUUCCAGGUUCUGGUUCUAUUUGCCUUUUGGAGGAAAACUGGCAUCUCUGGAAGUGCAUGAAGGCACAGGCAAAGUGAUAAGCCUGCCUUGCUGUGGCACCACAAACACAUCACCAGGACGUGCUGCUUGUGGGCCAGAUCUGAAUCCUCUCCAAGGCAGGGGGACAGCACCGUGCUGAGCAUCAGCAUCAGAGUGGGGAGCCUCCGCUCCAGGAGCUCCGCGUCUCCCUCACGCUGAGGAUCCCAGGACUGCACACGGGAGUGGCCGGAUGC